rnacentral:rRNA from 1 species
GGCUACAGGACGAACGCUGGCGGCGUGCCUAACACAUGCAAGUCGAACGGAGAUAUUAGUAAUAGUAUCUUAGUGGCGGACGGGUGAGUAACGCGUGGGCAACCUGCCUUCGACCGGGGGAUAACACAGGGAAACUUGUGCUAAUACCGCAUAACAUCAUGAGAAGACAUCUUUUUAUGAUCAAAGGAGCAAUCCGGUAGAAGAUGGGCCCGCGUCCGAUUAGCUAGUUGGUGGUGUAACGGACCACCAAGGCGACGAUCGGUAGCCGAACUGAGAGGUUGAUCGGCCACAUUGGGACUGAGACACGGCCCAGACUCCUACGGGAGGCAGCAGUGGGGAAUAUUGCGCAAUGGAGGAAACUCCUGACGCAGCAACGCCGCGUGAAGGAUGAAGGUUUUCGGAUUGUAAACUUCUUUGAUGGGGGACGAAUAAUGACGGUACCCCAAAAACAAGCCACGGCUAACUACGUGCCAGCCGCUGC